AUUUUAAUUGCAGUGCGUAUUGACUAAUUGAGUGGCUAAAAAUAAAAGUUGCGCUUUAAAUUGAAAUGUAAAAAUAACGCUCAUAAAGGCAAGCGUUUAUUUCGUCUGCAGCAGAUGAUCUUGGUAUUACUGAUAGUGUUUGGCGGAAAUCUCUAGACAGUAUAAUCAUCGUGCCUCCAAAACAUCUCGAGUCAUUGCGUAGAUCUUUCGAUGUUCGACUUAAUGCUUCUAAUGCUCGUUUAUGUGCCAUUGUGCAUUCGUCCCACAUGAUAAUUUUCGAUGCUGUUAAAAGAAAAAUUCAUUGAUUGGUCUUCGAAUUGCUGCCAGAUCCACCGUAUUCUGAACUGUAUUCUAAACUGAGGGCAAAUCGUAUUACAAAAAAAUGGUCCACAAAGUUGGUUCUCCUAGCGGCGAUAAUCUUCUCAUUGCACUGCAACUUUUGCUCGACGAGUGAUUUUUUCGGGUUUGGAAAAAAAAAAAAAUUCGCAGACACGUGCAGCUUGUCCUGCGACGGAAAUAUGAGGCACUGCGGUUUCUGCGAUUACGUUUAGUGGAAUCGCUGAUAA